rnacentral:rRNA from 1 species
UACGGGGGGGGGCAAGCGUUGUUCGGAAUUACUGGGCGUAAAGGGCCAGUAGGCGGCCAACUAAGUCGGAUGUGAAAUCCCCAGGCUUAACCUGGGAACUGCAUCCGAUACUGGAUGGCUUGAAUUCGGGGAGAGGGAUGCAGAAUUCCAGGUGUAGCGGUGAAAUGCGUAGAUAUCUGGAGGAAUACCGGUGGCGAAGGCGGCAUCCUGGACCGACAUUGACGCUGAACGGCGAAAGCUAGGGGAGCAAACGGG